rnacentral:rRNA from 1 species
AAGGAGACCGCCGGUGACAAACCGGAGGAAGGUGGGGAUGACGUCAAGUCAUCAUGGCCCUUACGGCCAGGGCUACACACGUACUACAAUGGUAGGGACAGAGGGCUGCAAGCCGGCGACGGUAAGCCAAUCCCAGAAACCCUAUCUCAGUCCGGAUUGGAGUCUGCAACUCGACUCCAUGAAGUGGAAUGGCUAGUAAUCGCAGAUCAGCAUUGCUGCGGUGAAUA